rnacentral:rRNA from 1 species
CCUACGGGAGGCAGCAGUGAGGAAUAUUGGUCAAUGGACGAGAGUCUGAACCAGCCAAGUAGCGUGAAGGAUGACUGCCCUCUGGGUUGUAAACUUCUUUUAUAUGGGAAUAAAAUGUUCAAAGUGUGGGAUUUUGUAUGUACCAUAUGAAUACGGAUCGGCUAACUACGUGCCAGCCGCCGCGGUAAUACGGUGGAUACGAGCGUUAUCCGGAUUUAUUGGGUGUAAAGGGAGCGUAGGGGGAUUGUUAAGUCAGUUGUGAAAGUUUGCGGCUCAACCGGAGAAUUGCAGUUGAAACUGGCAGUCUUGAGUGCAGUAGAGGUGGGCGGAAUUCGAGGUGUAGCGGUGAAAUGCUUAGAUAUCACGAAGAACACCGAUUGCGAAGGCAGCUCACUGGACUGCAACUGACGCUGAGGCUCGAAAGUGUGGGUAGCAAACAGGAUUAGAUACCCGUGUAGUC